rnacentral:rRNA from 1 species
GGGCCCGCACAAGCGGUGGAGCAUGUGGUUCAAUUCGAAGCAACGCGCAGAACCUUACCAACCUUUGACAUCCCGAUCGCGGGCACCAGAGAUGGAGCCUUUCAGUUCGGCUGGAUCGGAGACAGGUGCUGCAUGGCUGUCGUCAGCUCGUGUCGUGAGAUGUUGGGUUAAGUCCCGCAACGAGCGCAACCCUCGCCCUUAGUUGCCAUCAUUCAGUUGGGCACUCUAAGGGGACUGCCGGUGAUAAGCCGGAGGAAGGUGGGGAUGACGUCAAGUCCUCAUGGCCCUUACAGGUUGGGCUACACACGUGCUACAAUGGCGGUGACAGAGGGAUGCAAUGGAGCAAUCCUGCGCAAAUCUCAAAAAGCCGUCUCAGUUCGGAUUGUGCUCUGCAACUCGAGCACAUGAAGUUGGAAUCGCUAGUAAUCGCAGAUCAGCACGCUGCGGUGAAUACGUUCCCGGGCCUU